rnacentral:tRNA from 1 species
GGCCGGGUGGCUCAGUGGUUGAGCAUCAGCCUGUGAACCAGGAGGUCAGGGUUCGAUCCCCGGUCAGGGCA